rnacentral:lncRNA from 1 species
AGAUUUAUUUAUAAAUCGGAGGACCUAUAUGUAAAUAUAGAAAUUUCAAGGACUAAACUGUUAAGUUGUAAAAAGAAGAAAAUAAAGAAAACCGAAGAGAAGUAGAGGGAGAAGAGAAGAAGAGGGAAAAGAAGAGAGGAAGAAGAGGGAAGAUGGAGAGGAGAAAGAGAGGCAGCUGCAGCAGCUAGGGCUGCAGCACCUCUGUUUCCCGCAGCGGGAAACAGAGGAGAGGAUGUGUGGGGCGUUGAGGAUGAAAAGGG